rnacentral:rRNA from 1 species
UACGGGGGGGGCAAGCGUUGUUCGGAAUCACUGGGCUUAAAGGGCGCGUAGGCGGCUUGCCAAGGUCAGGGGUGAAAUCCUGCAGCUUAACUGUAGCAAGGGCCUUUGAUACUGGCGAGCUCGAGGGAGGUAGGGGUAUGUGGAACUUCCGGUGGAGCGGUGAAAUGCGUUGAUAUCGGAAGGAACGCCGGUGGCGAAAGCGACGUACUGGACCUCUUCUGACGCUGAGGCGCGAAAGCUAGGGGAGCAAACGGG